UCCACCACCUAACUUUCUGUCACCAACAGUAUUUUCCCUUCUGGUUGGAAAUUCAGCAAAUCCAGCCCUGGAAGACAUAGCUGACCUGGAACUCUUUGAAAAAGUCCGAAAGAUAUCUCAAAGUACAACCCUUGAGGACCUUGAAAAGUCAAAAGAACCUCUGCUUGAUUACUUGGCCAAUGCAGGAUGCCUGAGGCCUAUGCGUUCACUAAGAGACAGGGAUCUGCUGGUACAUGAUAUUGUCAUGUUUCAGGUCAUCCACAGGGUUCAAGGUCCAUUUCAAAGAUUUUGUGAAGGUCUGAAAACUCUUGGGGUUCUCGAGAAAAUGAGGAGGCAUCCAGACAGUUU